rnacentral:tRNA from 1 species
AAAUCCGUCGACUUUAUAAAUCGUGAGGGUUCAAGUCCCUCUAUCCCCCA